rnacentral:lncRNA from 1 species
CAAGAUCAACAUGUGAAAUCGACAUUAUUAUUAUUUCUCACGUUGUAGCGAACGAUAUUUUUGUGUAAUAUAGUUAACUAUUAUCAUGAUUAUAAAAAGACGUUUGAUAGGAAAAGAGUAACAUCUUAAUCCAAUACAGUUUAACAAAGUAAAAAACAUAUUUCGAUGAUGUCAAUUAUAUUUUAUCUGGUAUGCAAUCUGAUAUUUCACCAGUCAUUUUGCGAAUCUUCCAGUUGCAAAUGGCCUCAUGCGUUUUUAGGUAUGUACAGCUCUAAUUUAUUUUCAAUUGGUAUAAUUAAUCUAAAAUUGUUAUUUAGUCGACAGUAGCUCAAAUCUCGGAAAUCGAUUAAAAGGAGACAAGAAUAAGCUAACACAAACAUAACAAUAAAUAAACUUAUUGUUGAAAUUAUUUUCCUCUGAUGAUGCACAUGUGCUCUAUUAUAUAUAAUGUCAACCUCAUCAUACAUAUAUAAGCUUGGGAUACAAUGUCAAUACAAAACUUACAAAAUAAGAGUUCCUUUUUUUUCAAAUUAACACUUUGUUUUUAUUUUACUUUAAUUAUUUUUCUCAUAAAGUAUUAAAUUUAUAAUGUAGGCCUUGUCAUAUACUAUAAAACAAACACUUGUGAUCAUUUAUAUAAAGAAAAAUAACUAUAUAACGUAUCAUAAUCUUUUUAGAUGGACGUAAGUCUUUAAACAGAACUAUACUUGAAUGGACAACAUUGGAAACAUUAUUUCCUUUCAUGCGAAAUGGACACUACAAACCAAACUGUAGGCCUAUACAACGAAUAGCUAUCAUUGUACCAUACCGUGAAAGGGAAACUCAGUUAAAAAUAUUCUUUCUAAACGUAGUUCCAUUACUAUAUCGACAACAACUAGAAUUCGAUAUUUAUGUUGUAGAGCAGGU